rnacentral:lncRNA from 1 species
AAGUAUGGAUAAUUGGCGCCAUCUGUCGGUUGGAGUUUGCUAAGGCCUGUUCAACGCAAGCUGAGGACGUUGCAUUAACGUGUUUCCUGGUGGAUGAAGGAACUGCAGCGCUGACAGUUUUCCGGGAGAUUCUGGACAUUGAGCGUAAGCAGAGCUGAAAGAGGCGUGAUGGACGGAAAGAAUCCUGACGACAUAUAAAGCGCAGGAAAUCAGAAGCUGAUGGAGACACAGACGGGCAG